CGACAGGAACAGCGGAAGGGAGAGAAGGUGGCCGGAAGCUUCCGCUGGAAACAUUUCAGAGGGGCAGUUGUGCUCGAGUCUGAGGGGAGUCCUCAAAUCCACAGCCCUUCUAGAAAGGAAGGUUGCGUGGGGACACCUGCUCGCGGCCGGGCUACGUGUGAGCGGCCGAGUGUGAGGGGUUUUGAGGUUUUUGAGCCUUCACUGAUGUCCUCCAGGCUUUUCUGCUACUGGCGUCUGGGACUGAAUGCAAGAAAGAUUUGGAACCUUCCAGAAAAUGAGGUUGUGUGCAAUGGAGAGGGUACCGUCAGAAGCUCUCCAAUCAGACAGACUCAAUGAGGUCCUGGCUCUGCUGCUGACUGUGUGUGACUUUGGGCAAGUUACUGAAUUCCUAGCUUCAGUUUCCUCAACCAUGACGUGGGGAUAAUAACAGUAUCUCCCUCACAGGGCUGUUUUAAGGACAAAAUGAGCUUUCCCUGGAGUUGGUCAGUGAUGGGUCUCCAGCGCCUCUGUGGCCCUCAGUCCGUGCACAGCAGCCUCCUCAGUGGCUCCUCGCUCUGGUUCAGAUGCAGAGAAAUCAGUCCCUACCCUGUGGCUUUCAGGGUCAGAAAGACAUGAACACUGCUGUUCCCAGUUUCAAAGACAGGGAGACAUUGGCCAACCUUGGAGUUACCAGAAGCAAGAUCCCUACCCUGCAGGACUAUCUGAAACCUUUGGGAUGUGCUGGAAAUAUCCUUUCUGGAGGCACAAGAGGACCCCUGAAAGCCGACACCCUUUGCCGACCAGCAGCUGUAGGAACAGCAGGAACGACCGUGUCCCUUUCGACCCCUUCCGUGAGAAGGACCUCCUUCUUCACCCCCCUCCACACAGUGACAACACGUGGUGUCCCUGGUCGCUCAGAUGGUCCCACGUGGCCAGGCUGAUUACAUCACAUGGAAACAUGCCAGAAACUAAACAAGAUAACAACGGUCCCAACAGAUGCCUGUCUUGUAGGUUGUGAGAAAGCUCGUGCCUCUCAUGGUUGGGUUUGGAGUCCUUGGGCAAUCUUGGAUCUUCGUGUGGACACCAUUCCCCCUCCCCAGUCCUGGCAGAAUGUGUGUAGAGCAGGCCCCCACAUCCAUCCAUUCAUACAUAGCGGUAUGAUAAGGAAACGUGAUGUGCUGCCCAGGCUCUGGGUUGGGAGUCGUGUAAACCUUGGUUCCAAACCCUGAACUCACUUCUGGGGCGCCCGGGGGGGCUCAGUCAGUUAAGCAUCAGACUCUUGGUUUCGGCUCAGGUCACACAAUCUCACAGUUUCAUGGGUUCAGGACCCACGCUGGGCGGAGCCUGCUUGGGAUUCUCUGUCUCCCUCUCUCUGGCCCUUCCUCACUUGCGCUGUCUCUCUCUCUCUCUCUCUCUCUCUC